UGGGAAGAAGCAACAAUUGAUGUCCAAGGU
rnacentral:piRNA from 1 species